rnacentral:rRNA from 1 species
UACGGGGGGGGCAAGCGUUGUUCGGAAUUACUGGGCGUAAAGGGCUCGUAGGCGGCCAACUAAGUCAGACGUGAAAUCCCUCGGCUUAACCGGGGAACUGCAUCUGAUACUGGAUGGCUUGAGUUCGGGAGAGGGAUGCGGAAUUCCAGGUGUAGCGGUGAAAUGCGUAGAUAUCUGGAGGAACACCGGUGGCGAAGGCGGGUCUCUGGGCCGUAACUGACGCUGAGGAGCGAAAGCAUGGGGAGCGAACAGG